CCUGAUUUUCUAUCUUUUCACAUAAAUGUGAGAGCCAGUGUUUCUUCUGAAAAAAUAAUAAUCAAAAAAUGCUUUUGAGCUAUUUUGUUAUUUUAAAUCCAGAAGUGGUAAUGGAAGAAUUUAGUUAUCAAUUUUACUGUUUUCCUCACAGUUAGUAAAGGAAAACUGUGACUUCCUUGCUUCACCUAUCAUUAUGGAAAUUGGCUGUUUUUGCCUGGUAGAGAAAUUAGGAGCUCCAGGCUCCUCCAGGAUUCUGCCAGCACCACCCUGACUCAUCACCUGGGGCUCCCUGAAGAGAGACAGAGCAGAGAGAAUCCCCAGAGAGUGUCUUCUAACACACUUUCUGGAACCCCCGUGCCUUCCACUGUGAAGAUGAGAUUGUGUUGCCACACAAAAUAUUCUAAGCAUUUUAAUGAAGUUGAAUUCCAGGGAAUUAAAACAGGUAGAUGAUAUAGAGCAUUUCUUCCAUGAAAUGAAAGAUAAAAG
rnacentral:lncRNA from 1 species